UAAUCUGGAUUCUUAUGAAUUCAGUUAUCUUUCCACUAUUCUUUAUCCAUUCCCUUCUUUCCAUUAAAAUUCAUCGGUUUCUUUUCAUUUUCCUUUAAAACAAACCCUAGCUUCUAUCACUACACAAAUUGAAGAAAUUAUGGCAGAAAAUCCCACAUCUUGGAGAGGAAUAUAAUUCUUUUCAAGGGAGGUUUGGAUGAUUCAAGAAGGCUUAGUGAAGCAUAGAGGGCUUGUUGGAGAAUUAAACACCUUUCUUUAAGAAUGGGAUGGUGGUCAACUUCUUAUGUGCAACACAUGGAGGACAUCUUUGACGACUUGAGGGAAGCUGCAGUAGAAUUCGGACAAUUGCUUGAGCCUAUUCAAGAAUUUAAUUUUGAAGAAAAGGUUUUAGAAUCUCUUGAGCAAAAUGAUACAAUGCAAAGUAAAGAACCUACAAAAAAUUUGCUAUUGGGAACUCAAGAGGGUAAGGAUCUUUCUUAACUUCCAAUUCUGCCAAAAUGAUUAAGAGUGAUUCUAUAGCGUUAGGGUCUUCUUAUGUUCAUGAAAGUGAUGAAGAAAAGAAAUAAAUUGAUGGGGGUUGUGAUUUUCGGUCAAUGGAGAAAGGGUGGCUUCAAGGUGUUCAUAGCUUGAAGCAAAAAUUUUUUCUUGUUGAUGAGGAAAAUAUUGAGGAAGAAAAAGAAAAUAGUUCUGUGAGUAGUUUGGUGCAUUCAACAUUUGCAAUCGUUCUCAAAGAAUUGGAAUUUGAGAUAUGGAGUAGGCAAAAGAAAAGAUUGCAGCAUGCACUUGUACAUAUACUGAACUGUAGCAAAGAAAAAAAAAAAAAGAUAACCAGU
rnacentral:misc_RNA from 1 species